GAUAGUGGAAAAUUGCCUUUCAUCAAGGUUCUACACAUUUUUACUCAAUAAAUUGUUAGAGGAGGUCCUCAAGAGGACGUGACCCCUAGUUGACCCCAGAGGUAGAUCCGGGCAUUCUGUGGCUCCUCACCCCCCUCCUCCCCGGCGCUUGGAAUACACAUUGCCUCCGUGGUUCCCCCAGCCAGAGCUAUUUUCAAGUACAUAGCCCUAAGAGAGUAAGGUGCUAUUGGGACCGCCUGGACUUCAUGCCUGAACCCAGUUGAGGCCUGAUGGAAGCUUUUAAGAUUCUGGCAGAGAUCUACUCGUCUCGCAGCUACCCAAGAUAAACCUGGCCGGGGAAUUUCAAAGUAUGCUCCAAGGAUGUCUGGGGUCUGCCUUCUCUAACUACAUUUUUGCGUGAGGCCAGAUUGUCUGCAUAUACCUUGAGCAAAACAACAUUUCACAACAGAUUUCAUGGCUAUCAGCUGGCCAGGUCCUAAUUCCUGAAACCUCCUCCAGAAAGAAGACAACCUUUGAUUUGCUUCUUAAGACUCAUUUCAGACUUCUGACCACCAGAACUGUAAGAGCAUGAAUGGGGAAGGGGCAGAGAGAGAGGGAGACACAGAAUCUGAAACAGGA